GCAAUGGAGUGCAGGGACCUGCACAGACCAAAGGCACUGGCUCCGGAGGAAGCUAGAGUUUUAGGCCAUUGGGAGCUGCCCGAUGUAUGUGAUGAGCACUGAACUCAGGCUCUCUGGAGGGAGUGCAUGCUAUUCUUAAACACCAAGCCACCUCUCUAGCCCCUCCACACAACUGUCUUGUAAACAGAUGGAAGAUUCUGGAAAUGAAUUUACAUAUAUAUAUUUAUUUUGAGAAAACUAUCACUCCUGCCUUAAAGCAAACCUCCUUGGUAAUUGGGGCUACCUUGACACUACUCCUUACAGACCCUCAUCCUUACUUCUGGCGACUGAGCCUACAUACGCAUCUAGACAAGUGCUCUACCACCGACAUACAUACUCAGGCCAACGGCUUUAUUUCUAAAGCUGAGAGAAGAUGCCUUCUUUGGUGCAGAUACUCUAGAGGAAUUCAAUCAGUCCAGCCCUGACUGGGGUGUGAAGGAGCAGCUUCGGUCCUCCAAAAGCUCCAGAGAGUUGGUACCAGUAACCCACGGGUCUCCCAAACAUAUGGGCCCUAAGAUGGAAGGAGAUGGAGAAGCUUAGCUUGUCUCAAUACACAGAUGUCUUGUGGAUUCAUCAGUUAGAAAACAGAACAGCAGAAAAUUAUCUUCCAGUUUCCAAGCCAAGCAACGUCCUGGGCCUCCAAAGAAAGCCCUGGGAACAGCCCUGGUGAACAAGCGCCUUGACCAAAGUGGAGAAGCUGGCAGACCUGGAAGCGGGGAAUGUGAAUACCUCUCUGUCUCGGUUUUCCCAGGGCUGCUCUAGAUGGGAAGAUGGUGAAAUGCAUAAGACAGCUCCAGAUGGUGGAGACUGGCUGGGCAGGUGGAGCUUGAGGUGAGCCAGAGACAGAAAUGGGUCCCACAUAAGUGGGCUGAGAUCAUGUUCUCCCAUGGCAACACUAGCUCUGGUGGGAACAGGGAUGAUUCUAAGGAACCUAAAGGGGGAUGCUGCGAUGGCCCUGCAUGCCUGACCUGCGCAGAGCUGAGGAACUCACCUGAGAAGGGGAGAAAUCUACCCAAGGAAGACCGGGCAAGGGCAAGAAAGUCAAGCAAGCUUG
rnacentral:lncRNA from 1 species